rnacentral:rRNA from 1 species
AAUGAACGCUGGCGGUAGGCCUAACACAUGCAAGUCGAACGGCAGCACAGUAAAAGCUUGCUCUUACGGGUGGCGAGUGGCGGACGGGUGAGGAAUACAUCGGAAUCUACUUUUUCGUGGGGGAUAACGUAGGGAAACUUACGCUAAUACCGCAUACGACCUACGGGUGAAAGCAGGGGAUCUUCGGACCUUGCGCGAUUGAAUGAGCCGAUGUCUGAUUAGCUAGUUGGCGGGGUAAAGGCCCACCAAGGCGACGAUCCGUAGCUGGUCUGAGAGGAUGAUCAGCCACACUGGAACUGGGACACGGUCCAGACUCCUACGGGAGGCAGCAGUGGGGAAUAUUGGACAAUGGGCGCAAGCCUGAUCCAGCCAUACCGCGUGGGUGAAGAAGGCCUUCGGGUUGUAAAGCCCUUUUGUUGGGAAAGAAAAGCAGCAGGUUAAUACCCCGCUGUUCUGACGGUACCCAAAGAAUAAGCACCGGCUAACUUCGUG